rnacentral:lncRNA from 11 species
AAAACAACAAUUCGACCUCAGAGAAUUAUAGUCUUUGUUUGUUGUCUUUUUAGACCGCCAUCAGCAGACCUCUGAGGAAGGAGCACUGCCAAAGUCUUUGGACAAAGAGCACGACUGCGAAAUAUCUCCUGUUUUCUUCAAAGAUGCUUCCGCCGUGUGCCAGGGCACGGAGCUGGUCCUCAGCGCUCUCCUGACCGCCAGGUCGGCCGCCCAGCGGGACACCUUGGCGCGAGCCCUCUCGGGGGUCCUGGGCACGGAAAAGCGGGUGAGCCUUGGCAGGUGGGACUCCACGGCCGCCUUGAAGCCUUGUCUGCCGAAAGCAAAUGUGACCACGACCCCACCAGCCGAGCCGGGGUCCACCGGAGCGCCUGCGCAUGUGCUGCUCAUCAACGAAGUGAAUCCGGACAACCCGGGGAAGCGGGAGGAGGCCGAGUUCAUCGAGCUCUUCUAUCCCGGGAGCGCCCGGCCCUUUGAGCUGCGGGACCACUGGCUGGUCCUCUACAACGGCAAGAACAACCUGGCCUACCGGGUCAUCAGCCUGGACGGACACCGGACGGACCAGCGGGGCUUCUUCCUGGUGGGCGGUGCCGGAGUGGCCCCCCGGCCCUCGCUCGUCCUGCCGGACAACACCCUCCAGAACGGGGCCGAGGCCGUGGCCCUCUACCACCGCCCCCAGGCCAAGGCCAAGGCCUGCCAAGUCAACAUGGAGGUCACCACGGAGGGGCUGCUGGACGCCGUGGUGUACACGGCCUCGGGCUCCCAGGCGGCCCACCGGCUGCUCUCCAUCCUCGUCCCCGGACAGAGCAUCCUCCACGAGAACAGGGCGCGCGGCCCGGCAGACCUCUCCCUCAGCCGAUGCCGCGGACUCCAGCCCAGGGACCAGGGCAGCUUCCAGGUACAAAAAGAAAGGAAAUCAACCUGCAGGCAGUCCCCAGGAUACCAACAAGAUAGUAGGUUGCUG